rnacentral:rRNA from 1 species
AUACGGGGGGUGCAAGCGUUAAUCGGAAUUACUGGGCGUAAAGCGCGCGUAGGCGGUUUGCUCAGUCGGAUGUGAAAGCCCAGGGCUCAACCUUGGAACUGCAUACGAAACUGGCAAACUAGAGUGUGAGAGAGGAUAGUGGAAUUUCCGGUGUAGCGGUGAAAUGCGUAGAUAUCGGAAGGAACAUCAGUGGCGAAGGCGACUGUCUGGCUCAACACUGACGCUGAGGUGCGAAAGCGUGGGUAGCAAACAGGAUUAGAAACCCUAGUAGUCC